rnacentral:rRNA from 1 species
UGAAGCGGUAAAAGCUCAAAUUUGAAAUCUGGUACUUUCAGUGCCCGAGUUGUAAUUUGUAGAAUUUGUCUUUGAUUAGGUCCUUGUCUAUGUUCCUUGGAACAGGACGUCAUAGAGGGUGAGAAUCCCGUUUGGUGAGGAUACCUUUUCUCUGUAAGACUUUUUCGAAGAGUCGAGUUGUUUGGGAAUGCAGCUCAAAGUGGGUGGUAAAUUCCAUCUAAAGCUAAAUAUUGGCGAGAGACCGAUAGCGAACAAGUACAGUGAUGGAAAGAUGAAAAGAACUUUGAAAAGAGAGUGAAAAAGUACGUGAAAUUGUUGAAAGGGAAGGGCAUUUGAUCAGACAUGGUGUUUUUUGCAUGCACUCGCCUCUCGUGGGCUUGGGCCUCUCAAAAAUUUCACUGGGCCAACAUCAAUUCUGGCAGUAGGAUAAAUCAUUAAGAAUGUAGCUACCUCGGUAGUGUUAUAGCUUAUUGGAAUACUGCUAGCUGGGAUUGAGGACUGCGCUUCGGCAAGGAUGUUGGCAUAAUGGUUAAAUGCCGCCCGUC